UGAAGGAGAGCUACUCAUUCAUGGUACCUUUCAGGUCCAAUUCUAUCCUAUAUAAAUGUACAACCAGGACAGAAUGAUCUCCCACAAGUAAGUCGAUUUUUCCACACUUACUACCCUUGUAAAUGAAUUCAUGAUCAUGUGAGAGGUAGACCACAUGUUUAAGGCAGGCGGGAAAUAAACAUCUAAGAAUUUGACUUGUUUGGUAAUAGAAGUUUAAAUGGUAGGUAUAACAUUAUAAGACUGAAUGAGUUGGGAACCACCAUUAUGUUGUGCAUUUUGUAACUGGGUAUUGCUUUCUGUAAUUGGGUGCUGCUGUAAAUGCAGGAAGAAGUGUGGACAUAGCAACUGGGUAUUGCUUUUUGUACUUUUUCAAUAAAUUUUGCCAUCUAUUUCCAUUUGUGGUCUGUGUAGGUUUUCUGAUAUUCUUUAUGAUUAUGUUCAAACUGGUUUUCUUAUUUGCUUGUUUGAACUGCAGUUGAGGCCAAAGAAAAAGAUCAAGCAGAUGCAAAUCAUGCAAUCCUGAAAAUUUUGGUGGGCGCAAAGCCGAAGAAUUCGUUUUCUAGCUUCUCAAUUGGUGUAAAAGAUAAUCCUUUGAAGCAACCCAGGGCACAACAGAAAGAAUAUGAUCAGACUGACUUGCAAAUCUUCAGGAGAAGAAAAAGGCAACUUUAUGUUUGGUGGUGCUAGACUAAACAAAAGUGGAAAGAUCAGAACAAGAAGCUAUAGUAAAGGUGGCAUUAUAAGGAAAUCAGAAGACAAAGUUGGAUAAGCGUAAUACAAUUUGAGUGAACAAGUUGUAGGUAAUUUCCUAAAUUCUUGUAGAAAAUGUAUCCAAUGCAUAUGCAUGAUGAAGUCCGGUGACAUUGAUUGAACAAGAAAAUCUAAAUAUGCUCAACCUUGAUCCUAAAUUCUAGAGACAGACCUGUUAUUCAUGGUUUGUUUUGUUAAAAUUAAAAUUCAGAUCAAAGAAAUAGAAUUGAUUGAUUGUAUGGAUGGAUGGAUUUGUAUGUGAUAAUAGAAUUUUGAUCGAAUAAGGUUUCAUAUUUGAUUGGGAAUGGAGUGGCUGUAUAUACUUGUAUUCUGGUGCCGGAAAUAAAAUG